ACCUCUGGCUUUUGAUUAAAUUUCCUGAAUGCCAACCUCCUCAUCCAGAAGGACUAUGCUGAAGGCCACAUAAGAAAGUGAUGACUUAUGUUUACUUGAGCCCCUGUAAUCCCAGUGGAGAGACUGAGAUGCCUACCCAUGAAGCUGAAGCACAUAUUUGGAAUACGAACUCUUGCUGCUGCUCGCUCUUUGGGUCCACGCUGCCUUUAGGAGCUGUAACACUCACGGCGAAGGUCCGCAGCUUCACUCCUGAGCCAGCGAGACCACGAGCCCACCGGGAGGAAAGAACAACUCCAGACGCGCCGCCUUAAGAGCUGUAACACUCACCGUGAAGGUCCGCAGCUUCACUCCUGAGCCGGCGAGACCACGAACCCACCAGAAGGAAGAAACUCCAAAGACGUUCAAACAUCAGAAGGAACAAACUCCGGACACGCCACCUUUAAGAACUGUAACACUCACCGCGAGGGUCCAUGGCUUCAUUCUUGAAGUCAGUGAGAUCAAGAACACACCAAUUCUGGACCCAGUAUCUCCCCAUACCCUAACUCCUUUCCCAAAGUAGGCAGAAAAACAGCCCUGUUGUUCCGGUGGAAGCCUUAGCUCUGUAUUCCUUUUAGACUGUAUUUCAAAACGCAUUAUUAGAGCCCCAAAGUCACCUGGUGAAAGAAUGUGAGAGCUGGAAGUGGCCUCAAAAUCCAGUUGAACCCUCUUAUUUCAUAUGUUUGGAAACUGAGCACUAGAAAAGAUGACUGCUGGAGCUCCUGCCUACUCCAGGAUGGCAGGAAGAAGGAAGGAAAGAAAAAGGCACACCUCUCCACUUUUAAGUAGCUUUGCUAGAACUCUCACAAAACACUUGUAUUACAUCUCAUCAGACUAUAAAUUCAAAGAAGACCAGGAAAUGUAGCUAUUAUCUGGACAACACUGGCCCAGCUAAAACUCAGAUUUCUGUUCCUACUGGAGAAGAAAAGACUAGAUAUUGGGAGGUAACUGGAAGUUUCUCCUGAGCAGGAUUUAGGUAUUAUACAAAACAACACGUUACUCUCUUGAUAUCUGUUUCCCUCAAUAUUUUAAAGCAAAUCUACUUAAAGCAGAGACCAAGUUUUUAUAGUGAAUGGUAAGGGGGAAGUUUUGAGUGGAAUUUUACCAUGAAAAAUGAUACUAAAAUUGUGAAAGCAUAUUUUAUUUUAUAUUUAAUGUAAUUUAGG
rnacentral:lncRNA from 1 species